CACCAUCAAAAAAAAAAAAUAAAACAGAAAGAAAGCAAUACCAAGGACAGUGUCCACUUGAAGACUGGCAAAUAGACUUUACUCAGAU